rnacentral:rRNA from 1 species
CGGACGGGUGAGUAACGCGUGGGUAACCUGCCUCACACAGGGGAUAACAGUUAGAAAUGACUGCUAAUACCGCAUAACCCGAUAGGAUCGCAUGAUCCAGACGGAAAAGAUUUAUCGGUGUGAGAUGGACCCGCGUCUGAUUAGCUAGUUGGUGAGGUAACGGCCCACCAAGGCGACGAUCAGUAGCCGGCCUGAGAGGGUGAACGGCCACAUUGGGACUGAGACACGGCCCAA